AAUAAUGUCCAAGAAUUUUCCAAAAUUAGUGACAGACACCAAUCUACAGGUCCAAGGAGCUCAGAGAACAUCAAACAGGAUAACUUCCAUUUUC